AUUGCUUCCCAGCCUUUUGGCUAAGAUCAAGUGUAGUAUCUGUUAUCAGUUUAAUACUAAAAAAGCAACAGUUCAGAUAACUCAGGGUUUUCCUGAGGAUUAAAUGAGUCAGUAAGUAAAAUGUGCUUAGAACUAUGCCUGGCACAUAGAAAGCGCUCAAUAAAUGCUAACUAGCAUUACCUAAUACUGGUUUACUAUGC
ensembl:snRNA U2 U2 spliceosomal RNA